rnacentral:rRNA from 1 species
UGGGGAAUAUUGCACAAUGGGCGCAAGCCUGAUGCAGCCAUGCCGCGUGUGUGAAGAAGGCCUUCGGGUUGUAAAGCACUUUCAGCGAGGAGGAAGGGUAGUGUGUUAAUAGCACAUUGCAUUGACGUUACUCGCAGAAGAAGCACCGGCUAACUCCGUGCCAGCAGCCGCGGUAAUACGGAGGGUGCAAGCGUUAAUCGGAAUUACUGGGCGUAAAGCGCACGCAGGCGGUUUGUUAAGUCAGAUGUGAAAUCCCCGCGCUUAACGUGGGAACUGCAUUUGAAACUGGCAAGCUAGAGUCUUGUAGAGGGGGUAGAAUUCCAGGUGUAGCGGUGAAAUGCGUAGAGAUCUGGAGGAAUACCGGUGGCGAAGGCGGCCCCCUGGACAAAGACUGACGCUCAGGUGCGAAAGCGUGGGGAGCAAACA